GAUGAACGCUGGCGGCGUGCCUAAUACAUGCAAGUCGAACGGACGGACGAUGAUCUUGUGGCUCUCAUGUGAGCCGCGGACGUGUGAGUAACACGUGUAUAAUCUACCUGUAAUACGGGGAUAACUUCGGGACACCGGCUCUAAUCCCGUAGAAUAUUUUGAACCGCAGUGUUCAAAGGUGAAAGACGGUGUUGCUGGAACUUAUCGAUGGAUCCGCGCUUCAUUAGCUAGUUGGUAAGGUAACGGCUUAUCAAGGCAACGAUGCAUAGCCGACCUGAGAGGGUGAUAGGCGACACUGGAAGUGAGCCGGGGACCAGGGUACUACGGGAGGCAGCAGUAGCGUAUCUUCGGCAAUGGGCGAAAGCAUGACGGAGUAGCGCCGAGUGAGUGAUGACGGUGUUGCGAGCGUAAAAAUCUGUUAUUAGGGAAGAACAUAUGUGUCAGUAGAUGUGCACAUCUUGACGGUAACUAAUCAGAAAGCAACGGCUAACUACGUG
rnacentral:rRNA from 1 species